AUUGAACGCUGGCGGCAGGCCUAACACAUGCAAGUCGAACGGUAACAGGGAUCAGCUUGCUGAUUCGCUGACGAGUGGCGGACGGGUGAGUAAUGUCUGGGAAACUGCCUGAUGGAGGGGGAUAACUACUGGAAACGGUAGCUAAUACCGCAUAACGUCGCAAGACCAAAGAGGGGGACCUUCGGGCCUCUUGCCAUCGGAUGUGCCCAGAUGGGAUUAGCUAGUAGGUGGGGUAACGGCUCACCUAGGCGACGAUCCCUAGCUGGUCUGAGAGGAUGACCAGCCACACUGGAACUGAGACACGGUCCAGACUCCUACGGGAGGCAGCAGUGGGGAAUAUUGCACAAUGGGCGCAAGCCUGAUGCAGCCAUGCCGCGUGUAUGAAGAAGGCCUUCGGGUUGUAAAGUACUUUCAGCGGGGAGGAAGGGAGUAAAGUUAAUACCUUUGCUCAUUGACGUUACCCGCAGAAGAAGCACCGGAUAACUCCGUG
rnacentral:rRNA from 1 species